rnacentral:rRNA from 1 species
CAGCCGCCGCGGGAAUACGUAGGGUGCGAGCGUUAAUCGGAAUUACUGGGCGUAAAGCGUGCGCAGGCGGUUCGUUAAGACAGAUGUGAAAUCCCCGGGCUUAACCUGGGAACUGCAUUUGUGACUGACGGGCUAGAGUAUGGCAGAGGGGGGUAGAAUUCCACGUGUAGCAGUGAAAUGCGUAGAGAUGUGGAGGAAUACCGAUGGCGAAGGCAGCCCCCUGGGCCAAUACUGACGCUCAUGCACGAAAGCGUGGGGAGCAAACAGGAUUAGAUACCCGGGUAGUCCCUGUCUCUUAUAC